CACAGAGAGAAACGGAACAUUUGUCUGAACUCCUCUGCCCUCACAGGAACGCUGGUUCUUUUUCCAGAGAUUAACAUUGUUUCAGUCUCAGGGGAAUUUUUCAUCUGCCUCACCGGCUGAUAAAGAACUAUUUCAGACUUGUACAAGAGCAGCAAAACAAGAGAAUCAUUAAAAGUCUGAAAUGUGUGACCAUCAAGAAAAAGGAUACAAACACGACAAGACCUCCAACUCCAAAUCUCAACAAGGGAUGCAGCCUCGCCAUAAUCAAGGACAUCGUCAUCAUCAUUACCAUCACCAGGAAGAUGGCAAUAAGGAUAAUAACAUCCAUUCAGCUGAGGACAUCAGGGAUCGUCAACCAAAUAUUCAGAAUCAGCGAGCUCACGACAAGACUCAUCACCCUCCUCAUUACCGCCAUAAGCCAAAUUAUUGUCAUGUUUCAAGAAGUACCA